CCCCUUUCUUUUUAUUUAGCUUCCGACCUUUUUCCCACGCGAUCACUUUUUCCCAAAACUUUUCUUCCCAUCGCCGUGUGUGCAACCAACCCAGCGUCUGUGCAACCACCUUACCGCAGCUUAUGCAAUCCACCCUAUCGUGGCCUGUGACCAAGUCUGCUGCACUCACCUCCUUCCCAUUCAGCUGCCCCUCAGCCCUCUCUACCAUCUUCUCUAUCCAUUCUCCUCUUCCAACCAGCAACCCAUCGUCUCCCUUUCUUCUCAGUUAUCCUGCUCUCUCCCUGUUAUCGUCUCCCAUCCUUUGCAAUUCCCAUUCCUCAUUUUUGCCGCCUCCACUACCUUCAUACCUCUGCUGAGCACGACCUCCAUUGCCAAGCCCUCCCGGCCGUGACCUUCGCCGCUGAGCAACUCCACAGUCGUGUGCCUCUACUCCAUCACAACCCACCACCAAACAACUUUUUCCACUAUCUUUCACCGUCACUGCUCUGCUCUCAAGCAUCUCACUGCCACCGGCCAUUGCUUUCUCUCUAAUCCUCUGCUGUACACGUAGUCCCCCCUCUGCUCUCAGCCACCUCCAACUCCUUUCAUCACUAGAACCAGGUGGCGACUUGAGCCACCACCUCUCUUGCCCGCCACCACCUCUCUUGCCCACCACCUUCAACUCUCUCACCUCAAUUUCCUCCACCCAGCUGCGUCCAACUCCAUCUCCGCCACACUGCUCCACCCAUCUACAACCACUCGCCCACCUUUUCUUUGCUUCCUGCAACCAUGCUCCAAUCUUGCUAAGCCAUCUCCGCCUCUUUCGGUCUCCAACCCCACUCGAUCAUCUUUCCAUUUCCUUCUCUGCAAAUUUCCGUUUUCUCCCUCUCUGUAAAAACCCACAAACAAAACGCCCGCUGUUCUAUUUUUCGUUUUCGUCUUUUUCUUUUCGUUUUAAGUUUUCGUUGAUUUCGUCCACCUCUCUUCACUUCACCCAACCUCAAGUCCCCUUCUUUCUCUUAAACAACCUUUACCCUUUUAACUCUCUCUCUCUCUCUUUCUAAACUAAAUUUAUUCCUUUUUCUCUUAUCCAAUGUUAUCCUCUUCUAUUCACGUAAUACCUAAACAAUCCAAUAACAAGCCCUUCCCUUUUUCUUUAUUCCUCAUUUUACCCUUAGCUUAUUUCAUGCUAUUUGCUUUUAUUCCACUCCAUUUUAUGUUCGCCCACUUUAUUUUUAUUUACCUCAUUCAUUUUAAUUUAUUUUCCCUUAAUCCAUCCUAUUUUAUUUCACUUAUUUUAUCCCACCAUACCUUACUCUAUUUCACUCAUUUAUUUUAUUAUCUCAUCUUAUUUUAGUUUCAUCCAUCCUUUUUAUUUUUGUUUUACUUAACUCCAUUUCAUUUUUAAUUCAUCCUUUACCCAUCCUAUUUUUAUUUUUUUUUAAUUCCAUUUUCUAAUGUUAUUUUAUUUUAAUUCACCUCUUUUAUUUUCCUUUCAUCUCAUUUCCCAUCAUUUUUAUUUCCACUUUUGUCUCUUUUAAAAGACUUAGCAAGAGUUGAGCUAGUCUUCACUCCCUCUCUUUCUCUUCUUCGCUUAUUUGACCAGAGGGCAGGUUGAAUCUUGUAUUGUCAUGGUAGUCUUGUCGUUGAGUAGUAUUGCUGCCGUGUCGGUUUGAGCUACCGUGCCCGUCUUGUUGCCACAUCAGACUAACCAUCAUCAGUGUUAGUUCUGUUGCCGAGCAGUAUUGCCGCCGUGCCAAUUUGAGUUAUCGUGCUCGUCUUGCUACCACGUCAGACUCGCCAUCGUACCAAUCUGGUUGGUGUUGGUUAUAUCGUCGAGUAGUAUUGCCGCCAUGCCGGUCUGAGUUACCGUGCCCAUCUUGCUACCACGUCAAAUCAGUCACUGUACUGGUCUAGCCAUUAUGUCAGUCUAGCCGCCCGGUCAAAUUUCUUCUCUCACUUUCACUUCGCCCUGUAACAAGGUGGGGACCUAUUCCCACUUGUCUUUCCUUUUAAUGUGUGUGUGUGUGUGUGUGUUUGUAAGAAAGGAGAAACAGGUCAAGGGAGGCGGUUCCAAACCAGCCACAGGCCAGGGGGCAUUCCAAUGUGAUCUAAGAGGGCGCCCACGCAAGCCAAUCCGAGCGUGUCACGGACCUAUAUGAGGUAAGUCCCGCCUCACGACCCUAAUUCUUCUCUCACCGGUUGGUACUCCUACCCACGUCUUCUUUAUGUGGUUUUCAAGAGAGCGAUCUCAGGUUCCGAGUCCAUCUCGAACCCGGAACCACUCCACCAAGUUAACUUGACCUGGAGGGCGAGAUCGAGGCACUUAACCAUAGGGAUCUAGGGUAUUUUCUGUCUCUAGGAAAUGUUUCUCUCUCCUCUCAUCUUGAAUCUUGAACUUGAAAGCAAAGUAAACGAACAAGCUAACAAUUCAAGAAUUUCACUAUAAAAUGCUCAAGUAUUUAAGAAAAUUCAAGACAAUUCCCAGAGUUCUAUUACAAUUGACUUAGAUUCCUUAUAUAGAGCAACCACUAAACAAGGGUUGAAAAUUGUAAAAAAAAACACCCAAAUAUGUAAAAAAAAAAAACACAUUUUAUGAAUUAAAAUAUUAAUCUCAUUUUUGAACUAAAUGACCAAAAUACCCCUAGACACUUUUCAACAAAUGAUAAAACCAUCCCUUCGUGAGGAGCUUCUUGCCAUUGCUAGGCCUUGGGAGCUUUUUCAGAUGCUUACGGUCCUCGUAGAGUCGAUGCUUGAACUAUUGCACACAUUUUGAUAAUCUUUGAUCCUCAUGAAACGGAUUUUUAUGGAAGAACCCAAAAUCCAACCAAGUCCAUAAACUUUGUGAAUCUUCGACCACCAAUCUAGCACGAUCUAUGAUGUUCCAAACAUUCAUUUUGAUCACAAAUUAAAGAGGACACUAUCGCGAUCAUUUUGUGAUAAAUUUCGGCUAUUUUGGUCUCCGUUUGUGAUCUCCAAUUUUGGAAAUUCGUCGGAAAAUGGGAUUAUGGAAAACAAAAAAGUAGUCCAUUUUCGACCUUAAACUUUGUGUCAUCCGACCUCUGAUAAUAUAUAAAAAUUAUAUCAAAUUGUAGUUCUUCAAAGCACGGGCGUAACAGACCCAUACUUGUGACGAUCCGACAUCGAGAUAUUCAUGUAUGACCUCUCAAAGGAUUGGAUGUUCUUCUUUAUAAAAUUUGAAUUUUCAUGUUUCGAGUCCAUCUUUUGUCCAGAAAUUCUCUCAUUUCGGGCUAUGUCAGGAUGCGUGCCAUAUGUCAAAAUGAGCGAGUCGUCGAGAUCUAGCUUGUGUCUGAAUUUGAGCGUAAUUAGACUCAAAACGAGCGAGUUAUGAGCAUUUGAAAACCAUCCCAAAUGAGAAAACACAGUUUCCAUAAAUAGAAACUAGUGUAGAACCCACAUUUUUAUGGUAAGUUGGGCCUAGAAUUGUCUUGGAGGAUCCCAUUGAGCUGAAAUUUAGUAGCUGGGGGUUUCUCGAAGUUUCGGAUCCAAUGGAGACCCAAAAAAUAGGGCUAUAGUAAUAGGGUCUAUUUUUAGCAUGAUAGAACUUGGCUUGAAAACCAAGUUUCGUCCUGAUCUUAUCAAAACUUGUCAGAAUGUGACGAAACUUUGUGGGUAUCAUUAGGGUAUCCAAAACUAACAUCUCAUGCAAUUUGAAGGCAUUCUGACACUUCUCCAAAGGUUGCACAAUUUUAAGCUUAUUGUUACAGUGUUCCCGUGGUCCGGAGAUGUCUUGGGCACCGACGGAACCAGGUUAGUACAUGCUCUCUCCUUAUUCACCCCGGGGAUACAAGUACAUAAAAAAUGAUGUAUAACAACUUUCCUCGCUGAAUGCUACUCUUCGAGAGAAGCGAGAAGUGUAAUAUUCAAAACAAAAAACUCGACGAAGUUCAUCUUUCAAAUCCUUACUAAAAUGCUUUUAUUCUCUCUCAACAAUAUUUUUCUUCUUGAUCAUCGCUAUCAACACGAUCCUUAAGGGGAAGACCAUUCCAAGCUUCUUCCUUGAGGGAUGACCGAAGGAAGAGAGCUUAAUUGGGGGCCUUUUACGGGCUUGAUGAACCAAUACUGCUAGAAUCCAUUUUUUAGGGGAGUAUGCUGACCGGGUGCGUUGUGGAACAACUUACUUUCCCAACUGAACAAUACUUCCUAAUGAGCCAACUAGUGGGUGCCUUUGGGGCUUGAUCUCAAUCUAGUGGUUUUUUUUGUUCCAACAACUGAGGGCCUUGCUUAAGGGCUUCCUUCCCAAUAUUAUCAGAAUCCAGAUGUGUUU
rnacentral:lncRNA from 1 species